rnacentral:rRNA from 1 species
UCUGGCCCAGAUCGUUUACCGUGAAAAAAUUAGAGUGUUCAAAGCGGGCAGAUAUUUUUCCUGCCACCGAAUACAUUAGCAUGGGAUAAUGGAAUAGGACCCUGACCUCCUAUUUUCAGUUGGUUUUGUUUACAGCGAGGUUAUAUCAGGGUAAUGAUUAAUAGGGAUAGUUGGGGGCAUUAAUAUUUAAUUGUCAGAGGUGAAAUUCUUGGAUUUAUGAAAGAUUAACUUCUGCGAAAGCGUUUGCCAAGGAUGUUUUCAUUAAUCAAGAACGAAAGUUAGGGGAUCGAAGACGAUCAGAUACCGUCGUAGUCUUAACCAUAAACGAUGCCGACCAGCGAUUAGGAGACGUUGAAUACAAAACACCGCUGUUAAUCCUUCGGGGAAAUWYSUUC